AUUGAACGCUGGCGGCAGGCCUAACACAUGCAAGUCGAACGGUAACAGAAAGCAGCUUGCUGCUUUGCUGACGAGUGGCGGACGGGUGAGUAAUGUCUGGGAAACUGCCUGAUGGAGGGGGAUAACUACUGGAAACGGUAGCUAAUACCGCAUAACGUCGCAAGACCAAAGAGGGGGACCUUCGGGCCUCUUGCCAUCGGAUGUGCCCAGAUGGGAUUAGCUUGUUGGUGGGGUAACGGCUCACCAAGGCGACGAUCCCUAGCUGGUCUGAGAGGAUGACGAGCCACACUGGAACUGAGACACGGUCCAGACUCCUACGGGAGGCAGCAGUGGGGAAUAUUGCACAAUGGGCGCAAGCCUGAUGCAGCCAUGCCGCGUGUAUGAAGAAGGCCUUCGGGUUGUAAAGUACUUUCAGCGGGGAGGAAGGGAGUAAAGUUAAUACCUUUGCUCAUUGACGUUACCCGCAGAAGAAGCACCGGCUAACUCCGUG
rnacentral:rRNA from 1 species